rnacentral:rRNA from 1 species
CAGGUCUUGACAUCCUCUGACACUCCUAGAGAUAGGACGUUCCCCUUCGGGGGACAGAGUGACAGGUGGUGCAUGGUUGUCGUCAGCUCGUGUCGUGAGAUGUUGGGUUAAGUCCCGCAACGAGCGCAACCCUUGAUCUUAGUUGCCAGCAUUCAGUUGGGCACUCUAAGGUGACUGCCGGUGACAAACCGGAGGAAGGUGGGGAUGACGUCAAAUCAUCAUGCCCCUUAUGACCUGGGCUACACACGUGCUACAAUGGAUGGUACAAAGGGCUGCAAGACCGCGAGGUUUAGCCAAUCCCAUAAAACCAUUCUCAGUUCGGAUUGCAGGCUGCAACUCGCCUGCAUGAAGCCGGAAUCGCUAGUAAUCGCGGAUCAGCAUGCCGCGGUGAAUACGUUCCCGGGCCUUGUACACACCGCCCGUCACACCACGAGAGUUUGUAACACCCGAAGUCGGUGGGGUAACCGUAAGGAGCCAGCCGCCUAAGGUGGGACAGAUGAUUGGGGUG